rnacentral:lncRNA from 1 species
GAGUCAGGAACUGGAAUGCAAUGGAAGAAGAAGAAGAAGAAGAAAGAAUUAAGUCCUAGAAAAUGAAGAAGGUGGAGGUCAGAUGUUGUCGAAUCAAUCUCCUUGACUAUUGGAAUGCAAGCGUGUGUGCAUGUGCGAGCACAUUUGGCUUUGGAAUGUGGCUGGAGCCAGUGACGUCACUGUGGGUUAAGACACUACAUGGAAAGUGAAUGAAUGAAACACUCUUCACUCUUCUGUUUGGAAAUGAGCACAAAUGAUUUUCCCCCUCCAGAUCAAAACCUCAAGGCCUGACCCAACCAAAGGCAGAACUCAGAAGAGAACAUCGGAUUCCCUGGCACUUACAGAGGGUUGUGAGUCACCACAUGGGUGCUGGGAACCGAAACCAGGUCCUCUGCUAGAGCAACAAGCACUCUUAACUGCUGAGCCAUCCCUCAGUCCCAGAAGUUUGGAUGUGAAUAGAAGGCUACUGCAUCCCAUGAGGCGAUUGUCAAGGGAGGUUUUGAAUCCUGCGUCCCACGGAGUAGACUGAUUCUGCAGUCAUAGCAGCACUUGGCCAUGCUGGACUGCUUCCACAGAGGCAAACCUGCUUCACGACAUGACAGAAUACAGAACUUUGGCUCAUGCUCUGCCUGGGUGGGCCAGCCCUAGAAAUGCCCAUGAUUGGAAUAUCUAUUCUUUUUCUUGUUGCUGGAAGAAAGCACCUGACAGAAGUAGGGGGAGUGGCGUUGAAGUGUGCAUCUAACAGCCUGACAGAGCUCACCUGAAAAGGCAGUCACACAUGUAUUCCAAGAAUGUCCUGAGGAAUUUUGACAACUCAACCAGUAUAACUGAGCCAAUGUUUAUUGAGUAUCUGCUUUGUUUCCAGCUCUGUGGAAAGUCCUGGCUUGCCGGGAGCCAUGGUCUCAGCCAUGUCCUUGUGGAUAUUUUCUAGCUUACAUAAACAAUCCUGAAAGGACAUUCCUGGUCAUAACAGUAAGAAUGUUUAUGGGAAAAGAGGACACUGUGACCGUUGGUUCUAGAAGCUGAAGAUUGCCACCUGACCUUCAGAGAGUCCCUGGGCUCUUCCCCCCUCCCUUGGAGCCUCCUCUUGCUUAUGCUUAUAUUGCCACUCCAGAAUAAAGUUUUCAGAGCUUGAUCA